rnacentral:rRNA from 1 species
GAGUUUGAUCAUGGCUCAGGACGAACGCUGGCGGCGUGCCUAAUACAUGCAAGUCGAGCGGAAUGAUGAAGAAGCUUGCUUCUUCUGAUUUUAGCGGCGGACGGGUGAGUAACACGUGGGCACAUCUACCUUGUAGAUUGGGAUAACUCCGGGAAACCGGGGCUAAUACCGAAUAAUCCAUUUUGCUUCAUGGCGAGAUGUUGAAAGACGGUUUCGGCUGUCACUACAAGAUGGGCCCGCGGCGCAUUAGCUAGUUGGUAGGGUAAUGGCCUACCAAGGCGACGAUGCGUAGCCGACCUGAGAGGGUGAUCGGCCACACUGGGACUGAGACACGGCCCAGACUCCUACGGGAGGCAGCAGUAGGGAAUCUUCCACAAUGGACGAAAGUCUGAUGGAGCAACGCCGCGUGAGUGAAGAAGGUUUUCGGAUCGUAAAACUUCUGUUGUAAGGGAAGAACACG